UACGUAGGCAGCGAGCGUUGUUCGGAGUUACUGGGCGUAAAGGGUGUGCAGGCGGUUGUUUAAGUUUGGUGUGAAAUCUCCCGGCUCAACUGGGAGGGUGCGCCGAAUACUGAAUGACUUCGAGUGCGGGAGAGGAGAGUGGAAUUCCUGGUGUAGCGGUGAAAUGCGUAGAUAUCGAUAGGAACACUCGUGGCGAAGGCGAGCUACUGGACAACAUCUGACGCUGAGGCUCGAAGGCCAGGGGAGCAAAAGGG
rnacentral:rRNA from 1 species